rnacentral:piRNA from 1 species
GGCAAACGUAAUCUGUGGGGUUAGAUUCC